GUGAAUUUUCUGGCAGGAAAGAUCUGGGGUCACAGUGUGUUACUGAUUUUGGGCAGAAUAGGAAUGCAAGGGCUUGUCUUGACACAGGGACAGUGAACACGGCAGCACAGCUUUCUGUCUUAUCCAGAUCCAGUAUCUUUUAACUCUUUUACAGACAGGAUCUCUGUCUCCAACUUGGAUCCAAAUCUCUGAGCUGAGACACACGGCGAAAAUGUGCUGAGAGGGAAGUGCUGGAAAGAUCCGUGAGUCUGAAUGGAUUUUCUUUUGUUAUUCCAAAGAUAGAAAACAGCCCUCAUGAAUUUGCACGUUAAGUUACCCAUGCAUCUGGAGAAAAGAAGCAGCUGAGCAGUGGAGAUGUUCCCUUGCUGCACAGGCUGCUGCAGGAGCCCUCUGAGAGGAUUGCCGAGUUCUUUCUCAUGGAUGGGGACCUGGAGGAGAUCAGCAGUGAUGAGAUUCAACAGGCAAAGUCAAGGUAAACAGACACAAAAUGAGGUGUCCCAGAGUCCAGGGCAAUCUGCACAACUGGAGCCAGGCUCGUGAGGAGAACAUACAGAUAUGCAGAGUGCGGGUAGAGCACCGUGAUGGAAGGCUGAAGGGGUUUGGGUUGCUCCUAAAGCUUCCAGAAUUAAUACUGAUUACACUCAAAGUGGGGGUCUUCAGAAAAUUUGGACUCUGAGGGUAACUUCUCUUUAUUUUGUUUCCUGUUUGCUUUCUGAGCCUUCAACUGCCUCAGUUUAUACUUGCUGCGGUGUUUUCCCUUGGAAAGGAUAAAUGCAGUGCACACAUGGUACUAUUUCUGUUCUAUAGCAUUUAAGCCACAUCAGUGCCAGAUGUCCCUGUUGAACUUGAGGUCAAUGACAGGAUAGAUCCCCUGGCAGUAGAUCAGAAUGCCCCACAAGCCAGAGGGGCUCCCAUAUUUGUGAGUCUCUGAGUCCAAGAGCACUAAGUGGCUGCACAGCAGCCAUCGAUUUGUUACUGGAUGAUGGGCUGAUAAUCAUGUUGAAUCAAAGUGUCCAGGAAAUGUUUAGAAGAUAUUAAACUUGUCUGCCUUGGGAAGGUUUUCAUUGCCAUUUGCCCCGCUGGUUGCAGUUCGGGAUGAAAGUUUGCAGAGGUAAUUUCAAUGCAUUCUCCCUGAGGCACAGAGAAUAAAACAGGAACACGAGUGAGGCACGGAAGAUGGAGCAAAAGACAGAGUGCCAAACACACAGCAAGGACUGAGGCAUACAGAGGCAAAGAGGAAAAUAAGGACCUGGAGAGGAAACGACCACGACAGGUGCCGUGACUUUUGCAAUCAAACUCCGAAGGUGAAAAACCACAACUUUCCCCAGCACUGCAUUCAGCCACUCUGGAACAAAACAAUAUUCCCAGCCAAAUCGACAAUGGACAAUUGGCAGGGGUCUGCUCUUCAGAAGCUGGAACUACCAUGACAUAUUAGAAGUAGUAGAAGAAACAUAGUAGAAGAAAUUCCAUUUGAUUUUUUAAUGGAAGUGGCAUCCACCUAUUUGCUACCACAGCGGAGAUGGUAACUGUGUAAUUCCUACAUCACCUCUCAGCAUCCAAGCUUUAGCUCUAGGCUGCCCAUGAGAGGAGCCAGAUCUCUUCAAUGGAAAGGAUUUCUCACUUAUUGAGUAUGAAAUGGCUGAAGGUGGAAUCUAGUGAAAAAAGAAAUUCACAGGAAAGAUCUAAGGAAAAACAGUUCUCAUCUUUGUCAAGUCCCGUUAAAACCUGCAAAUGUUUGCCUCUCCUGUGUGUGCAUUCACAAGAGAAAUCCAAACACUAGAGAUCAUUAUCAGGAGCCAAGGUACCUGUCUUCAUUAAGACACGUAAGGUUGGUGCACCAGAUACAAAGAAACAAAGUAUUUAUUGUUAAAGGCUCUUCUAUUAAUCACUCCAAUCACUAGGCAUCAUACAAUGGAUAUGGUGGCUACAGAGUAGAGGGAGUCUCUCUCUCUCUCCCUGUUCUUUAUACACAUAUUUGCCCAGUCUCACAAACCCAUAGCUGCAUUUUUAAAAUUGAGUUCCUCUCUUCAGUGACUUUGGAAAAGAUGUUUAUAAUACAGGAUCUGGCAGAACAGAUACAUCCUAUUAAACAGAGCAGUUACAGAAAGGAGACCGCUUUCUUUAGGAAAAAAGAGCCUUCUUUCCCUCCUUAUCUUUUUGCAUUGCCAUAAAAGAGCUCUCCACACAAAACCAGACCAACAACACUGAUUAGCUAAUACCUGAUCAGCAUUUUGGCAAAAUUAGGAGCCCUAGGAUAUGCACCAAUGUUGAUUCAUACACUAAUAUUUUCACUUGGCUUCCACAGGAUAAGUUCUAAAUGAUGUGGUGUAAAAAACCUGUCAGCCCAGACGAUGUCACCUACCCACCCUGCUACGUUGAACAGCUGAAUCAACAGUGAAAAUGCUUUGACAGUGUCUCAAAGUUAUUUGCAAAACUUUUGGUUCUGUCCUUGCCCCCCACUGCCCGGGCUACACACCGAGACUGUCUCUCCCACGUACCCUCCGUGUCCGCACACACGCAUGCACACAGAAUGCACACACUCACCUGUGCUCCAAGAGCACUUCGCACAUUAUCUUGUGCUGUGUCUUACUGGCACUUCAGUGGCACUCUGCUCGAUUUUUAAAUUUCCUUUCCCACUGUAGUAUUCUCUUUAUUCCACAACUGAACAUUUGCUUCCCCUUCAAUCUCUAAGAAACAUUCGUUCUGAUUCCUGCCUUAUGGCCAACAACCCAGAAGACAAAAAAACCUGUUUCUAAACCUGCCACGUCAAUACUUCUGCUUCAAUAUACAUUUCCGUCCUACUGGUACUCCAGAAUUCUGCUGAACCCUUUCCUAGUUUGAUGCUAUAUUUUCCAACAAUCUAUAUUAUCAUCUAUACAUGAACUACUUCUAUGCACAGAAUGUUUUUUGCAGUAUGCAUAGAUUUCUAUUGUACUGUGGCAACAGAAGAGCCUGAAACAUUUUCUUGUUGUCUUUCAUGCACACAAAAAGACAAGCAUCCUGAACUUCAAGUAAAUUUCUCAUUCACAGUCUGUCAUAAUUACCUGCCUGUUCAGAGCCACUACCUUUCAUUUUCAAUGCUCAGGCAACAUUCGGUCUAGCUGCUUCCAGUAUUGCUCCAUUAUUUCUCUUCAAAUAAAAUCUCUCUUUGUUUUGUAAACAAGUAAGCUCUUAGCUGCACCUAUGGAACAAAGGACAAAAUUUUUCUAUGACUGUCUUGAGUAAAAGACCCAAACAGCUCCUGAACACAGGAAAAAGGCAUCAAAAUCUCAAAUCCCAGUUUAACCAAAGGAAAGACACUUGACAGCCAUUCCUAAGACUCACUGGUAGUGACCAGUCUUUUUUUAUAGACAGUGGGAUAUAAGAAUUUAGAUUCUGGAUUGCUAUGUCCAGUGCCAUCUCCGGUGGCUGAUUCAUGCACACCCCCAUUUCAGUAUAACCCUGCUGCUAGACAGAGCUGCAGCUUUCAGUGAUGCAGUUGUGGCACCAACACCACGUGAGUUUCGUUAAUUUGCUCCGAAAGAGACUUGGAACCAGAUCCAUCCAAUUAAUUCUACAGAGGUUCUAAGACCAGGCUGGACUCCAGUAUGUUGUCAGCUGUGGCAGAUGACUGGUAUUGCUCUCAAAUGUCUGCCACUUCAGUGGGAAGGCUCUCAUACCCCAGAAUUCCCUGGAAGACAUUCUGCAGGCAUCUAUCUCAGUCCCGUGCCCUUCUCAUAUCCCUGUAUAUCUUUCCCUGCAUUUCUUAUUCCUGCAGACUGAGCACAGCUCCUGAAUGUAGCUGCUCUGUUUGCCACAUACAAACAAGAGUUUUAUACACUGAGCAGCAUGCACACACUGGACACAGAAGCAUAACAAAUACAGAAGCACAGUGGCAGAUGACCCCCACUGUUUUUCCCUUGUAAUGCUUGCUUCUAGCCCAAUUAGCAGAGUCCUAAAUUAAGUAACAUUUCAAGUCAAUCACUGUGGCAGCCUCACAGCUCCUCAGCAUAACCAGUUCAAGACUGUAGGAUUUCUCAUUUUACUGUGAAAAUAGGUUUUAACACAAGAAGGAAUAAUUUCAAAAAGCCAUUCCCAGUAAAAGGCCUCAGACAAGGAGCUACUGCCGUACUUUUUCUCACACCAACAGGUCUUGUGUGAGAACACUGCCAUCAUAUAAAUUCAAUCAAAAGUAAAUUUUCCAAAACAUCUCUGAACACAAUGGACAGACUAAAAGCUAUGGCACUAUUAAUGUGAAAACAAAGGUAUUAAAUAAAGUGAUAAAGAGAAGACUAUCUCUUCUGUGACUGAACAGAACAACUUUUAUGUUAAACUAAGAGAGAAAUUGGCAAAGACAGCAGAAAACACAACAUUAGAGAAAAAAUGAAUUUAUUCAGAAGAGCUGCCUUCCUUCCAUACCAUAUGUGAAUUUGAUUCUCUUUCCAAGGAAGUGAAAGAAAGGAGGUGAAAAGGAGUAAUCUAGAAGAGGAUUUUGAGUACCACAUCAAAUGGACAGUUAUACUUUGGCAGCUGCUUUUUGGACGAGAAAUCAUGUUGGGCCUUUAAUUAUAACUCAUCUGUGCACUACAAAAAAUGAGGAGGGGGACGAUUUAAGGAAGAUGUCCCUGCUUCCAAGUAAUUGUUCUAUAAAUUCCCAUUAUCUGAAUUUAUCGCACAUUUCCGAAGAUGAUUUCCAAGGGAUAUGUUCUCUGUGCUAUUUAAGGCUGAUAAUGCUUUAUAACGCAACAGCAUCCAAAAUAACCAGCAUGUAUCAUGUAAGGCAGAGCUAAAUAAUUCAUA